AGAAGAAGAAGAAGAAGAAGAAGAAGAAGAAGAAGAAGAAGAAGAAGAUGAUGAUGAUGAUGGUGGUGCACAUGGUUAUGAGCACCAGCUGCCAGAGAACCCAGGUUCAGUUCCCAGCACCAGCAAGGCAGCUCACAAUUGUCUAUAAGGUAGGUUCCAGGGGAUCUGACACCUCUUGUGAACUCUAAGGGCUCCUGCUCACACAUGGUACCUACCUCCACAUACACAUAAAAUAAAAAUACAGUUUCAGAGAGGCCAGAGAGAUGUGGUUAACAACACAAAGUGCUGGAGUUGGAGAGAUGGCUCAGAAGUUAAGAACAUUUACUGGUCAUCCAGAGGACACAUCCAGAGUCAGUUCCAGGACCCAUAUCGAGGCUUACCACAUCUGCAAUUCUAGUUCCAGGAGAUAUGACCCCCUCUUCUGGCCUCCAAGUACUAGGCACAAAAGCAGUGCACAGACAAAGGUGCGGGCAAAUAGCCAAACACAUGAACAUGUUAUAUAUAUAUAUUUUAAAGGCAUGUGCCACCACUGCCCAAUGACUAUAACUGGGGCUGCCUUACAAUUCAGAGGUUUAGUUCAUUAUCAUCAUGCCAGGAAUUACAAUUGCCUGUAAGUCCAGUUCUGCAUCUGGAUGGACAGGCAGCAGGAAGGGCAAGUGAGCCACCAGGCCUGGCUUAAGCUUCUGAAACCUCAAAGCCCACCCUCAGUGACACACUUCCUCCAACAAGGCCACACCCACUCCAACAAGGCCACACCCACUCCAACAAGGCUAUUUCCUGAGGGCCUAUGGGGUUCAUUUUCUCCCAAACCACCACUGGCACCUAUACAUACCCACAUAUGAACACAUGUAAGUGAUUUAAGAAAAAAACAAAACAAAAAAAGUUGCUUCAGCUUCGGAUGGGUAAGAUGGCUCAGCAAAAGACUGACAACCAGAGUUCCAUCCCUAGAACCUACAUACAGGUGGAAAGAGAAGAGACUCACAAAACUGUCCUCUGACCUUUACACAAACACCACAAACCAAGUGUGUCUGCACAUCCAUAAUGACCCCCUUGUGGGAAAAAAAUUUAGUUUCGCUGGGGAUGGUAGAGAGCACCUGUAGUCCCAAAACUAGGAAGCAGAGGCAGGAAGAUUGUCUCAGUGCUGGACUAGCUUGGCAUAUAGAGUGAGACCUAUGAUGCCAAAAGCAUUCAACUUAAAGAUGGCUUCCAGUAGAAAAGUGCUUGUCUGCAUGUGUGUAUCCCUGGGUUCAAAUCCCUAGCAUUCUUUCAAAAUAAUUCAAUUUUCAAAGCAAGGUUGAAAGGCUGGAGAGAUGGCUUCAUCAGUUAAGAGUGUCAUACUACUCUUUCAGAGGACCUGAAGUCUGGGAAAUUGAACAUUGACAAUAACCCGUAACUCCAGUCUGAGGGGAAUCGGUGCUUCUGGCCUCCGCAGAUCAGGAAUCUUUCUGUCCAGAUGCUGAAGGUCCUUGCAGGGGGUAUGGAGCCUGCUUCCUGCCACCUGUCCCAGGCCCACGUGCCACGCAGGGCUGUGUUGUUGAUUUUCAGCCUUUGCACCAAGUCUCUCUUCAUGCCAAGCCUCUCUGCACAGAGGCAGGUUUUUCCUGCAGGUAUACUCUGGUUUCCCAGGGGCUGCAGUGCCUGGGACUGAGAGACCCCGCCGAGCACUGUCACACACAUGGGAAGUGCCUGAGGCUCCAGUUAGCAGCUGCUGCUGGUGCCCUUUGCAGGGAAGUGCAUUGAGAAAUUUCUUUCUGAGAGAGGCUUUCCCAUGCCCUUUGGACUACUUACUGGCUGUAUGUGAUUGUUAGGAGAUUUGUUGUUGUUGUUCUUUGUUUGGCAGCUGCAUUUCUUAACCUCUUAGUAUUAAAAUGACAGAGUUAUAGCUGAAA